rnacentral:rRNA from 1 species
GAUGAACGCUGGCGGCGUGCCUAAUACAUGCAAGUCGAGCGAACAGACGAGGAGCUUGCUCCUCUGACGUUAGCGGCGGACGGGUGAGUAACACGUGGAUAACCUACCUAUAAGACUGGGAUAACUUCGGGAAACCGGAGCUAAUACCGGAUAAUAUAUUGAACCGCAUGGUUCAAUAGUGAAAGUCGGUUUUGCUGUCACUAAUAGAUGGAUCCGCGCCGCAUUAGCUAGUUGGUAAGGUAACGGCUUACCAAGGCAACGAUGCGUAGCCGACCUGAGAGGGUGAUCGGCCACACUGGAACUGAGCCACGGUCCAGACUCCUACGGUAGGCAGCAGUAGGGAAUCUUCCGCAAUGGUCGAGAGCCUGACGGAGCAACGCCGCGUGAGUGAUGAAGGUCUUCGGAUCGUAAAACUCUGUUAUUAGUGAAGAACAAAUGUGUAAGUAACUAUGCACGUCUUGACGGUACCUAAUCAGAAAGCCCCGGCUAACUACGUG